CAACCCAUGUCUUUGGCAGGAGGAAAGAGAUGUUGAUCCAGCCCCUUGUAACAUAACCAUCUUCUUCAUUGGUCAGUCCACUUUUCUCAGAGCUCUGACUUUAUCUGAAUGAUUCUAGGACAGUUCUUGUCAAACUAACCUGCACCUAGAUGUGUUGGGAUCCUAGGAUGUACACAUUCUUACUGGUUCAGUGUGCCUGGAGUAGUGCCUAUGUUCUCCACUUCUAGAAAGCUCCCAGGAGCUGCUGAGUCUGCUGCUCUGGGCUACAUUGAGUAACAUGAACUCAGAUCACACUCUGUCCUUCAAUUACAGACAAGUCUCAACUGACACUUCUCUUUAGUUCUAAGAUCUUUUAGCUAUAUUCUUCUCAUCCUGAAAACCAGAACUCGGAAAGGAAGCACCACCUUUCCUGAGCUUUACCACCUGAGCACAACUGAGAAUCCAGGAUUUUAGGAACGGAACUAUAAGCAUAGAGAAGAGCAAAGGGCAUUAUACCUGGUGGAAGCAGUUGCAGCUGAGCCCAGACUCCCAUUCUCACUUAGAAUACAACUGGCUGUUACUUGAUCCAAAGGCUAGUUUCCUACCCAUCAGGUCUCAUGGAUGAGUAAGAAGUCAGCUUCUGGUCCUAGAAUGCCUCUGCCAUCUGGCUCAUUCCUGAGGCUUUUCAUAAGUCUUUCUGCUCAAGAUGGAGAAAGCCUGCCUUGGCCACUUCUUUCUAAACCACCACUUAUACAAACAUGAACCAUGAAAUGUGUGGAAAUCCAGGAUAUGAUGUGGGCUUAGAUAAGGGGCUCUUUCAGAGCUAUAAAUAGGCUGCUUAAUGGCAAGGUUUUUAUAGGUGCCGCUAAUAAGCUUUUCAUUUAAGUUAAGGCUUCCUUCCCUUUUGUAUAAGCCAUCUGAGUUCUACCAACUGCUCUCUCUUCCUUUAUGCUUUUGGUAAAUGUUUAACAUUACUUGUAAACACUUCUGAACUUGCAGAGAUUUAGAAAAGCAUGAGUUAGAAGAGGAGCUGAUGAGAACUGGUUAAAAAUGUGGAGACCUGGGUAGGCAACCUUGGCUGGGAGAAAUACCAUAAAAACAUGAAUAGUCUAAAAAGUGUAAGUAAAGGUUGAAACUAGCUGGAAACUAGAAAUGCUGGGUGAGCUAUCUGGAUUGCAGGGAUUGGUGAGCAUCGCAGUUUACAUUUGCCUUCCACCUCAAUAGCAUGGAUGGGAACGGGCCCAAGGGUCCAUCCUACCACCUCAGAGCCCCAGCCCAUGCCAGAUCCAGCCAUUCCACCAAAGUGGCCCCAGAGUAGCACACAGCUCUAGCCAUCUCACCAAGGUGACAGAGGCACAAAGCAUACUAAAAUAGUCUGCACCAUUUCAGCUCCCCAUAACUUAACAGGGCACCUAACCUGCAUUCAUUUCGCCUCCAGCUGCCCUGCCAGGAUACCCCAUAUGGAGUGCUCUGGGAUCUUUCCAACCUGUGCCCUGCCUGAGCUUCAGCAACCCAUGAAAAUGAGAGGAACACCUGGAUACACCCAGCUUGCACCCACUUCAGGUAUCCUGUUGGAGACACUGUACAGAGAGCCCUGAAACGCCCAUCCUGUGCCCACUUCAGCUUUGGGCAUACCACCAGGGCAGGCCCAACAUAGAAUGUCCUUAGACCCCUGCUCAUGCCAGCCACCAUUCCUGCGAUCCACACCUCCAGCCAGCCAGUCACCACACAAUCUAUCUACACAGGAGACAACCAUGCACAAGACCGUUCCUUCAAGUUUAAAAGUAGCUAUUCCACCUAAUUCACAGAAACACAAAAAGUCCAGUAAAAUGAGACCUAGGAAUAUACUGCAAAUGAAAGAACAAGACAAAAAUCUCAGAACUAAAUGAAACAGAGGAAACCAACCCACUUGGUAAGGAGUUCAAAGUAAUCAUCAUAAAAAUAGAUGCUCACUGGACUGGAGAGAAGAGUAGAUGAACCUAACAUCAACAAGAGAUAGAAAAUAAUUUUUAAAAGAUUCAGCACUGAAGAAAAUACAAUUAACUGAAAUAAUACUGAAUACUGAAUAAUACUACAGGGAAUCAACAUAGAACAUGCAGAAUGGGUCAGCAAACAAAGACAGAAUUUAAAAAGCACCCACGCUGAACACCAAAAAAAAAAAAAAA
rnacentral:lncRNA from 1 species